rnacentral:tRNA from 1 species
GGCCAUGUGGCCUAAUGGAAAAGGCGUCUGACUUCGGAUUAGAAGAUUGCAGGUUUGAGUCUUGCCAGGGUCG